GUGAGGUGUGUGUGUAGUCUUAGUGAGGUGUGUGUGAGGUGUGUAGGUGUGUGUAGUCUUAGUGAGGUGUGUGUAGUCUUAGUGAGGUGUGUGUGUGUGUGUGUGUGUGUAGUCUUAGUGAGGUGUGUGUGAGGUGUGUGUGUGUGUGUGUAGGUCUUAGUGAGGUGUGUGUGUGUGUGUGUGUGUGUGUGUGUGAGGCCUUAGUGAGGUCUUAGUGAGGUGUGUGUGUAGUCUUAGUGAGGUGUGUGUAGUCUUAGUGAGGUGUGUGUGAGGUCUUAGUGAGGUGUGUGUGUGUGUGUGUGUGUAGGUGUGUGUAGUCUUAGUGAGGUGUGUGUGUGUAGUCUUAGUGAGGUGUGUGUGUGGUCUUAGUGAGGUGUGUGUAGUCUUAGUGAGGUGUGUGUGUGGUCUUAGUGAGGUGUGUGUGUGUAGUCUUAGUGAGGUGUGUGUGUAGUCUUAGUGAGGUCUUAGUGAGGUGUGUGUAGUCUUAGUGAGGUGUGUGUGUGUGUGUGUGUAGUCUUAGUGAGGUGUGUGUGUGUGUGUGUGUAGUCUUAGUGAGGUGUGUGUGUAGUCUUAGUGAGGUCUUAGUGAGGUGUGUGGUCUUAGUGAGGUGUGUGUAGUCUUAGUGAGGUGUGUGUGUGUAGUCUUAGUGAGGUGUGUGUAGUCUUAGUGAGGUGUGUGAGGUGUGUGUAGUAUUAGUGAGGUGUGUGUAGUCUUAGUGAGGUGUGUGUAGUCUUAGUGAGGUGUGUGUGUAGUCUUAGAGAAAUCUACAAGUCAACAAGUCUACAAGUCAGUAUUAGCCAGUACACGAGCGGUCAGUAUUGGCCAGCACACGAGCGGUCAGUAUUGGCCAGCACACGAGCGGUCAGCACACGAGCGGUCA
ensembl:lncRNA